rnacentral:misc_RNA from 1 species
CAUAUUUGCUCUCAGGUCAUUUUAUCUAAUGCAUUUAAUAGUUACUUCAACAACGACGAUAGGUUCAACUACAACUAUGCGCAGGCCAAAGCCACAGCAGGCAACUACAAGGAAGCAGAGGAGAUUUUUGUGCUCAUUCAGAGUGAGAAGAUCAAGAAUGACUACACGUGUCUCUGGUUGGCAAGAUGCUGCAUCGUGAAUCGUAAGGCCAGACUAGCCUGGGAGUUGUACCUUAAGAUGGAGACGUCUGGCGAAUCGUUCAGCCUGCUGUAGCUCAUUGCCAACGACGGCUACAAGAUGGCCAGUUCUACUAUGCGACCAAGGCUUUCGGUGUCCUGGAAAGAUUGGACCCCAAUCCUGAAUACUGGGAAGGCAAGCGAGGGGCAUGCGUGGGCGUAUUCCAGCAGAUCAUAGCUGGUCAUGAACCAAGAGGAACACUGCGAGACAUCCUCCAAAUCUUGCGCAACA